rnacentral:rRNA from 1 species
AACGAACGCUGGCGGCAUGCCUAACACAUGCAAGUCGAACGAGACCUUCGGGUCUAGUGGCGCACGGGUGCGUAACGCGUGGGAACCUGCCUUUAGGUUCGGAAUAACUCAGAGAAAUUUGAGCUAAUACCGGAUAAUGUCUUCGGACCAAAGAUUUAUCGCCUUUAGAUGGGCCCGCGUUGGAUUAGCUAGUUGGUGGGGUAAAGGCCUACCAAGGCGACGAUCCAUAGCUGGUCUGAGAGGAUGAUCAGCCACACUGGGACUGAGACACGGCCCAGACUCCUACGGGAGGCAGCAGUGGGGGAAUAUUGGACAAUGGGCGAAAGCCUGAUCCAGCAAUGCCGCGUGAGUGAUGAAGGCCUUAGGGUUGUAAAGCUCUUUUACCCGAGAUGAUAAUGACAGUAUCGGGAGAAUAAGCUCCGGCUAACUCCGUGCCAGCAGCCGCGGUAAU